UGUUACCAUGCUUUACGUGGAUAUAAAUAUGUUAUUUACAAAAAAACACAUUCUGGAUGAAAUAAGAAACCUAUCCAUAUGGUAACUAAUUGAACUUUUACCGGAAUAAAAUUAACAAAAAGUAAGUGCAACCUUUUUAUAUAUUAACACUAGGAUUGAUUUUAAACUGUUUUUUUUUUUUUUGGUAUUACUUCCUUUAGAGUACAAGUGCUAAUGCAAAUAUACAAAUGUUUCCACCGUGUAACAAAAUAACAAAUUACUGAAAUAAAAAUCUUAAUGAAGAAACAAUAUCAAAGUAUGUUUCGUUUAAUUAAAAUACGUUGUUAUUCAUUCAAAUAAAUCUUGACAUACCUUAAUUGUCCUAUAAGACAAAGUCUUGCUUUUUAAUCUAAAAAGUCAACCUUUUUUACCAUGUUGACCUUUUUAUCUAUUCCUUCCUUCGUUACAUAUGAAUUUACAUAUUUAAGUAUGAUUUGCCUAAUCAUUAAAACUGAACUGUCAUUUAUCUAUUUGCGUAAUUGUGUAUUUGUUUCUCUUACUAACAGAGGCGGAUUUAGGGUUUGGGUUGGGUUUGGUUGUUGUUUUUUUUGGGGGGGGGGAUUUGGUUGAUUAUAUAGGGAAUCACUGAUCAUGACCGAAGCGGGCACCUGCAUAUAAUAGCCAGUCAUUGGGCCCCCACUUAUGUAAAUAAACUAAUUUCUAGAUCCGCCACUGACAGUUGUAGUCAUAUAUAAUUGUUUAAUGUUGUCGAUGUCUGUCUUUAUUAAUAAAUAUAUUUUACAGAGAACCAUGUAAGUUCUGCGUCUGAUCCUUUUUAUUAUAUACGUGAAAGCAAAUACAAUAAGUUUAAAUGGAAUAUAAAAAGAAGAUGUGGUAUGAUUGCCAAGGAGACAACUCUCCAUAAGAGACCAAAUGACACAAAAAUUAACAACUAUAGGUCACCGUACGGCCUUCAACAAUGAGCAAAGCCCAUAUCGCAUAAUUAGCUAUACGAUGUAUUUAUCUAUAUGUUCUAGACUGUUAAGAAUUAAUUAGAAAAGGAAAGUUCUUUUGUCUUUAAUUAAUCGAUUUGAAUUUGAACAUGUUCAUGACGUGCAGAUUAAUAUUCAUAAGGGAACGCCGAACACUUUAACUUCAAAAAAAGGGGGAGUCAUAUGGUUUAAAAAACAAAAAUAAUAUUCUCUUUCCUAAUUUGAUUAUAAAAAUGAAUCAAGUCAAGCAGAUGUGCGAAAAAAAAAUCUGACUCAGACAAAAAAAAAAACGUACUGCCGUUCUGCAUCAAUGAAAAGCUACAUUGUUAUUUGUCUGAUUGCAGUUCUGCAUUAAUAAAAAGCUAUUGACAACACAAGGAUACAUAAUCCUUAAUGUAUUCUCGUGUUUUUUUUUUACGUAAAGAGAAUCAGAUAUGUGACAAAAUACAUUUAUGCAAAAUUGUUAUUUGUCUGAUUGCAGUUCUACAUCAAUGAAAAAUGGAACGAAACAUACCUCAAAGUCAAGGUCAUUAACGAGGUUAACAUGUAAACGUGCUAUUCGUAAACUAGCUAGCAGUAAGUAUUAUGAGUUUACAUAAUAGGUUUUGCAUAGUCAGUGGACCGUGUUAAAUGGCGGGAAAUUUGAAAAAAGAGCGAUAUUUAAAAUUUGGUCAGUAGACGUUAUUAACAUUUUAGAUAUACUUGUUAUACAAUUAGUAUGGGUUUAUUCAUGAUAUCCGCCGAUUGGACGUCCAAUGUAUAUAAACCUUUGCCUUGCUGACCUAUAUUAGAGUAUAUCAAAGUUCAUUUCUCGUCUCCUCCGUUUUUUUGCAGUCGUAGAAUACUGAUAAUGCUUAAAUUGUGGCAUUUAUCAGUGGAGCAGAUCCAUAGAAAUAGAUCUAUAAGUUGAAACGGAAACGGCUACCGUUUAAAAAAAACUCAUUACAUUUUUUUCUCUUUAGGUUUGGGUUUCUUAAAUUACUUUUUUACUUUUUUUCUGUGAAGUGUUUUACAAACACUAUUUUUUUUCUUUGAUCGUUGUAUAAAAUACCUUUGGUGGCCGGUUAUGAUGUCAUUUCGCGUUUUUGCGUUUUCACCUUUUCGCGUUUUGCCCUUUAGAAUAUGAAAGGCGAAAAUGCGAAAUGGUCUUAAUUGGCCACCAUUGUUAUUCCACCACCUUCAUCCGAGUUUAUUUCUGAAAUAUAUUUACCUACGAUGCAUAUAACAAGUGUAUUCGUUGGGUCUUUCAUUACAAAAUUAGUUACAGAGUUGCAGCCGAUUGCAUUGAGUGCGUAGGCAAAGGUAAUAUCUUUGGUUAGCUUUCUUGCUAGCUGAACCGUGAAGUCAUUAUUAGGUAAAGUAUACUACCCACCUUUCGAAGUAGCCUAGUCCUACAGACAGAUAGUGUGUUUAUCUGUAGGACUAGGCUGAGGAGGGUGGUAUACUUUACGUAAUAAUGACUUCACGGUUCAGCUAGCAAGCAGCUAACCAAAUUAGGAUACUACAUUUUCUUACACACUCGAUGCAAUCGGCUGUAACAUAAUUUAAAUAAUUGCUAUGUUUUCCCAUUUCAGGAUUUGGUAGGUUAUUGUGUGUUAGGGACCCUUCUUAUUGUGGAGACGGAUGGCAGUAUGGAAAUAUAACUAAAACAUGGAUAUGGAUGGGAUGAAGAACUUUAAACAAAAUUCUGAAAAAAAUCAAAUAUAAUGAAAAGGAAAAAAAAAAAUAUUUAUGCAUUUUUACAUGUAGCCAAAACAUCAAAAGAAAAAGUUAAAAUGAAUAAAAAAAAUAUCAUUUAACACUAUUUUAGAUAAAACAAAAGGGGUGGGAAUAAUGAAAUAAAAAUAAAAUAUAUGUUGU
rnacentral:lncRNA from 1 species